UACGUAGGUGGCAAGCGUUGUCCGGAUUUACUGGGCGUAAAGAGCGCGCAGGCGGUCGUUCAAGUCGCGUGUGAAAGCCCCCGGCUCAACUGGGGAGGGUCACGCGAUACUGUCGUCGCAAGGCAGGAGAGGGUAGUGGAAUUCCCGGUGUAGUGGUGAAAUGCGUAGAUAUCGGGAGGAACACCAGUGGCGAAGGCGACUACCUGGCCUGUUCUUGACGCUGAGGCGCGAAAGCUAGGGGAGCAAACGGG
rnacentral:rRNA from 1 species